rnacentral:rRNA from 1 species
GACGAACGCUGGCGGCGUGCUUAACACAUGCAAGUCGAACGGAAAGGCCCUGCUUUUGUUGGGUGCUCGAGUGGCGAACGGGUGAGUAACACGUGAGUAACCUGCCCUUUACUUUGGGAUAACUUCAGGAAACUGGGGCUAAUACCGGAUAGGAGCUCCUGCUGCAUGGUGGGGGUUGGAAUGUUUCGGGGGUUGGGGAUGGACUCGCGGCUUAUCAGCUUGUUGGUGGGGUAGUGGCUUACCAAGGCUUUGACGGGUAGCCGGCCUGAGAGGGUGACCGGCCACAAUGGGACUGAGAUACGGCCCAGACUCCUACGGGAGGCAGAAGUGGGGAAUAUUGCACAAUGGGAGGAAGCCUGAUGAAGGAACGCCGCGUGCGGGAUGACGGCCUUCGGGUUGUAAACCGCUUUAGACUGUGACGAAGCGUGAGUGACGGUAAUGGGUAAAGAAGCACCGGCUAACUACGUG